rnacentral:snRNA from 1 species
AUAGCUUUCCUUGACCCUUCGCUUUGAUCAUAUAUAUUAUCUGGUCUUUUCAGUGUACUUUCUAAAACUUCCCUACGGGAGGAUUCAAGAUUAUCCUUAUCCUUGGAACUAUCCAGAGAGCCUCUGGGCUUGCUCGUCUUCUCUGGCACAGUGUUGCCAAUCUUA